UGAUGAUGAAGUUGUUUAUGAAAUAUAAGCAACCAUCCUACUUAUGCAUGCAUGGAUGUCUAUCAUUAGACAAUGAUGAUGAUGAUGAUGAUGGUGGUAGUGUUUAAUUUUUGGCAAGUCCAGCAGCCAUGCAGAGACUCCCUGGAGCUAUGUAGGUUAUACAGUCCUCAGAUAUGCAACGACAAGAGGCAACCAAACUGCAACCAUUGGAUCUAAAGAGUCUGCUAGUGUUGCAUGACAAAGAAACUUUUUAAUGGUUUUUCCAGAGUUUGAUAUUUUUAUUUACAUUGUCUUCAUAAAAACUUGUAUAAUGUUACUUUCUGUAUUAGUUUCUGAUUACUGGUCUGUCAGUUUGUUUGGUUAACAACUGGAAUCCUUGGAAACCAUAAUGGUCUGUGUCAGCAACAAUUGUAAUAAAAUCAGAGAGAAUGUCUUGGUGUCAAUAAAUCUGGUUGCUAUGAGAAAUGAAACGGUUUCAGACAUCUUGGACAUAGGUUCUUCAAUAGAACAGCCCGCCUAUUAUUUGAUUGAAAAAGUAACGCCUUAAGUAUGUGGAUCUUCUCUGCCAAGUUAAUAUAUAUAUCAUGAUAUAUCAUAAAUAUCUCAU